UAUUAUUUGCGGUUUGAUGAAAGACUUUCAUGGAUAUUCGAGACACCUCUCGGCAGUGGAUGGAGUCCUGCGACAGGUUCUGGCCGAUAGACGGUGAGUCGAUGUGCCAGGAGUCACCCUGAUAGGCUUCACCUGCCACGUCAACAUUGAGAGGCUUCGUCUCCAUGGUGGAGCCACCAGAGAGGAGCACCCUGCAUCCCUGAGCCCUGGUGAGCAUGAGACACCCCAGAGGACACUCAGAGCCAGAGGUAAGCCUUUCAAGGUGGACUCGC
rnacentral:lncRNA from 1 species